AUGAACGUUGGCGGCGUGGAUUAGGCAUGCAAGUCGAGCGCGAAUCUCCUUUCGGGGAGAGGAAAGCGGCGAAAGGGACAGUAACACGUGGACCAUCUGCCUUCAGGUCCUGGAUAGCUGCGGGAAACUGCAGGUAAUACAGGAUAAUGUCUCCGGACCAAAGGUGUAAUUCCUCCUGAAGAUGAGUCCGCGUCCUAUCAGCUUGUUGGUGAGGUAACGGCUCACCAAGGCUUCGACGGGUAGCGGGUGUGAGAGCACGACCCGCGUCACUGGGACUGAGACACUGCCCAGACACCUACGGGUGGCUGCAGUCGAGGAUCUUCGGCAAUGGGCGCAAGCCUGACCGAGCGACGCCGCGUGUGGGAUGAAGGCCUUCGGGUUGUAAACCACUGUCAGUGGGGAGGAAGGACCGGUGUAGAGCCGGUUUUGACCUAUCCGCAGAGGAAGUGUGGGCUAAGUCCGU
rnacentral:rRNA from 1 species